rnacentral:rRNA from 1 species
UCGAGUGGCGAACGGGUGAGUAACACGUGGGUGAUCUGCCCUGCACUUCGGGAUAAGCCUGGGAAACUGGGUCUAAUACCGGAUAGGAGCCAUUUUUAGUGUGAUGGUUGGAAAGUUUUUUCGGUGUAGGAUGAGCUCGCGGCCUAUCAGCUUGUUGGUGGGGUAAUGGCCUACCAAGGCGGCGACGGGUAGCCGGCCUGAGAGGGUGGACGGCCACAUUGGGACUGAGAUACGGCCCAGACUCCUACGGGAGGCAGCAGUGGGGAAUAUUGCACAAUGGGCGCAAGCCUGAUGCAGCGACGCCGCGUGGGGGAUGACGGCCUUCGGGUUGUAAACUCCUUUCGCUAGGGACGAAGCUUUUGUGACGGUACCUAGAUAAGAAGCACCGGCUAACUACGUGCCAGCAGCCGCGGUAAUACGUAGGGUGCGAGCGUUGUCCGGAAUUACUGGGCGUAAAGGGCUCGUAGGUGGUUUGUCGCGUCGUCUGUGAAAUUCCGGGGCUUAACUCCGGGCGUGCAGGCGAUACGGGCAUAACUUGAGUACUGUAGGGGUAACUGGAAUUCCUGGUGUAGCGGUGAAAUGCGCAGAUAUCAGGAGGAACACCGAUGGCGAAGGCAGGUUACUGGGCAGUUACUGACGCUGAGGAGCGAAAGCAUGGGUAGCGAACAGGAUUAGAUACCCUGGUAGUCCAUGCCGUAAACGGUGGGCGCUAGGUGUGAGGGUCUUUUCACGACUUUCGU